UGGCUGAGUUAUUAAGAUUGAAGGCUGGAUCCUUCAAGAUUAAGGUCAAUCAACCCCAACCCACCUUGCCACCAAGGUUUGGGUCAUUUUACAUGUGUUUGGAUGGUUGUAAGGAGGGGUUCUUGGGUAGUUGCAGACCAUUCAUUGGGGUAGAUGGUUGUCACUUGAAGACAAGUUUUGGAGGUCAGUUGUUAGUUGCAGUAGGAAGAGACCCUAAUGACCAGUAUUUCCCACUAGCUUUUGCUGUGGUAGAAAGUGAAUGCAAAGAGACAUGGAUGUGGUUUUUGACACAGCUGCUUGAUGAUAUUGGAGGCAUAGAUUGUCAAAGGUGGAUUUUUAUUUCGGAUCAGCAAAAGGUACAUUACACUAACAUUUACUUUUGUUAUAAUGACCAGUAUCUGCAGAACAUGAAUAUAGGAGGAAUUAAACAAAGAAAUAAACUCUAACUUAGAUCAAUUAACCAUGACUGAACUUUGUCUGUAUUGUAGGGAUUAAUGUCAGUUUUUGAUGAUAUCUUGAAUGGAGUGGAGCACAGACUGUGUUUACGCCAUUUGUACAACAAUUACAAGAAAAAAUUUGGUGGUGGCUUGCUCAUUAGAGACCUCAUGAUGGGGGCUGCAAAGGCAACAUACUAUAAGGAAUGGGAAAAAAAAAUGGGUGAGUUAAAGAAUGUGAAUGUUGAUGCUUUUAAUUGGUUAAUGAGUAUACCAACUAAAAAUUGGUGCAAACAUGCUUUUAGUGCAUAUCCUAGGUGUGAUGUGUUGAUCAAUAACUUGUCAGAGUCAUUUAAUAGUACAAUUUUAGUGGCAAGAGACAAACCUAUAAUUACAAUGAUGGAAUGGAUUAGGUCAUAUAUAAUGAGUAGGUUUGCAACCCUUAGAGAAAAAGUUGACACAUAUCCUGGUGAUGUUAUGCCUAAACCAAGGAAAAGAUUGGAUAAGGAGGUUGAAAAGAGUGGCAAUUGGCUUCCAGUUUGGGCAGGGGGUUCACUUUUUGAAGUAACUCAUGGCUUUACAAUGGACAAGUUUGUUGUUGAUUUAAGUAAUCACACAUGUACUUGUUAUUUGUGGGAUUUGGUAGGAAUACCAUGUAGACAUGUUGUUGCUGCCAUUCAUUACAAAUUAGAAAACCCAGAACAUUAUGUUCAUCCUUAUUAUAAGAAAGAUGCGUAUAGAACUUGUUAUGCACCUACUAUAACUCCUAUAAAUGGACAACAACUUUGGCCAACAUCAAACUCUGCCCCACUACUACCUCCCAUUUAUAAAACACCUCCUGGGAGGCCAAAAAAAUUAAGAAGACGAGAAGCUGAUGAAUAUGUCAGCCAUUCAAAAUUGUCAAAGAAUCAAAUUGGUAUGAAGUGUAGCAGUUGUAAUGCAUAUGGCCACAAUGUAAGAAGCUGUAAAAAAGGGAAGCAAAGCCAGGUAAUUGUUACUGCUCAUGUUAUUUACUACUUCAUUUAUUUACAAGUAUGUAAUAUGUAACUACCUUACUCCUUUCACAGAAAACAAGGGAUGCAUAUGCAACAACAUCUGCUUCAGCUGGAAGGGCUGGAAGGGUUGGAUCUGCAUCAGCUGGAAGGGCUGGAAGGGCUGCAUCUGAAAUAGCUGGAAGGGCUGGAAGAGAUCAGCUUGCAUCUGCUGGAAGGAGAUCAGGAAGAGAUCAAGCUGCAUCUGCUGGAAGGAGAUCAGGAAGAGAUCAGGCUACAUCUGCAUCCUCAGCUGGAAGGGCUGGAUCUGCCUCCUCAAGACUGCCUGGAUAUAUUAUAGGGUCUCAAGCAAGUUCUAAUUGAUUUCAUAGUGUAGAAACGUCACUUUUUGUAGUCCUUUCUAGUGGGCACAGUAUUUUUUGGACCACUUGUUUUGUCAUGAACAUUAAAGUAGUGAGGGACCACUUUGUUGACUGAAUUAUUGUGUUAUUUAUAGUGCUUUGGGACCACUUUGUCAGGGACCAGCACUAGUGUUGUAUUCGGUGUUGUACUUUGUCACAGACCACUUUUAUAUUAUUCAAUGUCAAUGUAUUCGGUGCA
rnacentral:lncRNA from 1 species